UGCAUAAGUAAAGAGGAGCUGAAUGUU
rnacentral:piRNA from 1 species